GAUGAACGCUAGCGGAAGGCUUAAUACAUGCAAGUCGAGCGGUAGGUGGCUUCGGCCAUUGAGAGCGGCGCACGGGUGAGUAACGCGUACAUGACCUGCCUGUCAGAAGGGGAUAGCCCUGGGAAACUGGGACUAAUACCCUAUGGUAUUGAUAUUAUGAAUGAUAUCAAUUAAAGUUGAGGCGCUGACAGAUGGAUGUGCGUCUGAUUAGCUAGUUGGUAGGGUAACGGCCUACCAAGGCGACGAUCAGUAGGGGGCGUGAGAGCGUGGUCCCCCACACGGGUACUGAGACACGGACCCGACUCCUACGGGAGGCAGCAGUAAGGAAUAUUGGUCAAUGCCCGCAAGGGUGAACCAGCCAUUCCGCGUGGAGGAUGAAGGCCCUAUGGGUUGUAAACUUCUUUUAGAUGGGAAGAAAAUGCUAGAUGUAUCUGGUACUGACGGUACCAUCAGAAUAAGCACCGGCUAACUCCGUGCCAGCAGCCGCGGUAAA
rnacentral:rRNA from 1 species